GGGAAAAUGGCACUAUUAUUAUGAUCCAGAGUCUGACCCAGAACGGCAGGAUGAAAGUGAAUCGGUUGAUGAGUCGCAGCCGCGGUUACAGCAGGAUGUCUCAGAAUGGAGCUCAUGGGGGAACUGUGCCACGAUGCCCACAGAGUUGGAAAACAUCUGUUGCAGAGAGAUACAACAGGUUACAAGAUGAAUGAAUCAGGUUCUGAAUCCCCCCCACUGCAGCUAACCUAACCUGGUCUUGAGCCUGUGUCUAAAUCUCUUUCUCCCUGCAAAAUGCCAUGAAUGUAUAAUUUGAUUUCCCCAACUCUUAUAUUUCCAAAAUGUAAUUUGAGUAUAC